GACAGAGGGUGCAAACGUUGUUCGGAAUUACUGGGCGUAAAGCGUGUGUAGGCGGCCUUAUAAGUCGGAUGUGAAAGCCCAGGGCUCACCCUGGAAGUGCACUCGAUACUGUAAGGCUCGAGUACUGGAGAAGUUGGUGGAAUUCUCGGGUGUAGAGGUGAAAUUCGUAGAUAUCGGGAAGAACAUCAGUGGCGAAGGCGGUCU
rnacentral:rRNA from 1 species